GAAAUGCGAUAAGUAGUGUGAAUUGCAGAAUUCAGUGAAUCAUCGAAUCUUUGAACGCACAUUGCGCCCUUUGGUAUUCCAAAGGGCAUGCCUGUUCGAGCGUCAUUUGUACCCUCAAGCUUUGCUUGGUGUUGGGCGUCUUGUCUCUAGCUUUGCUGGAGACUCGACUUAAAGUAAUUGGCAGCCGGCCUACUGGUUUCGGAGCGCAGCACAAGUCGCACUCUCUAUCAGCAAAGGUCUAGCAUCCAUUAAGCCUUUUUUCAACUUUUGACCUCGGAUCAGGUAGGGAUACCCGCUGAACUUAAGC
rnacentral:misc_RNA from 1 species